CCUACGGGAGGCAGCAGUGGGGAAUAUUGCACAAUGGGCGCAAGCCUGAUGCAGCCAUGCCGCGUGUGUGAAGAAGGCCUUCGGGUUGUAAAGCACUUUCAGUCAGGAGGAAAGGUUAGUAGUUAAUACCUGCUAGCUGUGACGUUACUGACAGAAGAAGCACCGGCUAACUCCGUGCCAGCAGCCGCGGUAAUACGGAGGGUGCGAGCGUUAAUCGGAAUUACUGGGCGUAAAGCGUACGCAGGCGGUUUGUUAAGCGAGAUGUGAAAGCCCCGGGCUCAACCUGGGAACUGCAUUUCGAACUGGCAAACUAGAGUGUGAUAGAGGGUGGUAGAAUUUCAGGUGUAGCGGUGAAAUGCGUAGAGAUCUGAAGGAAUACCGAUGGCGAAGGCAGCCACCUGGGUCAACACUGACGCUCAUGUACGAAAGCGUGGGGAGCAAACGGGAUUAGAUACCCCGGUAGUCCACGCCGUAAACGAUGUCUACUAGAAGCUCGGAGCCUCGGUUCUGUUUUUCAAAGCUAACGCAUUAAGUAGACCGCCUGGGGAGUACGGCCGCAAGGUUAAAACUCAAAUGAAUUGACGG
rnacentral:rRNA from 1 species